UACGGAGGGUGCAAGCGUUGUCCGGAUUUAUUGGGUUUAAAGGGUGCGUAGGCGGCCUCUUAAGUCAGUGGUGAAAGCCCGCGGCUCAACCGCGGAACUGCCAUUGAUACUGGGAGGCUUGAGUACAGACGAGGUAGGCGGAAUUGAAGAUGUAGCGGUGAAAUGCUUAGAUAUCUUCAAGAACACCGAUUGCGUAGGCAGCUUACUAGGCUGUAACUGACGCUGAGGCACGAAAGCGUGGGGAGCAAACAGG
rnacentral:rRNA from 1 species